rfam:Planococcus sp. PAMC 21323, complete genome.
CUAAUUCUUCGGGGCAAGGUGAAAUUCCUUACCGGCGGUGAGCAGGAAACUGCAAGUCCGUGACCCGGUUGGACGAUGGCAAGCAUAGGCCACUAUGUUUGGAGCGUUCAAGCGGUGGAGCUGGUGAAACUCCGGCACCGACAGUUAAAGUCUGGAUGGGAGAAGAAUGUA